UACGUAGGGUGCGAGCGUUAAUCGGAAUUACUGGGCGUAAAGCGUGCGCAGGCGGUUAUUUAAGUCAGGUGUGAAAGCCCUGGGCUUAACCUAGGAAUUGCGCUUGAGACUGGAUAGCUUGGAGUGCGGCAGAGGGAGGUGGAAAUUCCACGUGUAGCAGUGAAAUGCGUAGAGAUGUGGGAGGAACACCGGGUGGCGAAGGCGGGUCUCUGGGCCGGAUACUGACGCU
rnacentral:rRNA from 1 species